CAGGGGAAAAAUAAAGAAUACCACAACUGUGCAGCAGCUUGGCUAAUUCCUCAGGAAGGCCUUUUUCUUUCUAAAAGGACUAUCUCAGAAGUACUAUAUCAAAUGACCUGAAACAAUAUAAAACCAAGGGAAAGGCUCUUACUGGGUCUCAAGAGGAGAGGACGUUUAAUUACCUAUAUGACCCCAACAGUCUCAGACUUUGCUUUGUGGCUUCUCUUUCACUGUAUGAUUUGUAUGGAUUUAUUGGAAAACACAAAGACUUCCAGGAACUGCUAGCAAGCCAGACUCAUUUAUGUUUCCUAGUAGAAAGAAGUCAGCCAUCUGCAAGCCAAGAAACAAUCUAUCUCCAGAAACUGAUGCUGCAGGACCUUAAUCUGGGACUUCCAGCCUCCAGAACUAUGCAUCUUCCUAGCACCAAAGGGAUGUUGAAAAGCAGCAGGAAGGUCCUGCGCUACCUUUCGUGGUAAAAUAUUAAGGGUUGAGCAGGCAUGAUACAGCCUGGAUGGUGUGGCGUCCCAGAGGAAGAUCCCUGUUCUUGGUCCUCUGGCGUCUAAAAAAGCUCCACAGAAUAAUGAGUAGAGUGGCAGAUCCCCAGCGGAAGUGGAAGUAUUAAAUGCAAAAACGUGAGCCAGUUGUCUUGUGCGCCUCAAUCCUGCUGGCAGGGAAGAGCAUCAAGCGGGCACAUCCCCAGACCCACCCGGGAAGCUGGCCGCCACCGGCCCACAGGCGGGGGGGUCUCUUCCGUGAAGAGACCUUCGCUGUAUUCACUUAGCUCCCCCUCGGGGAGAAGCCGACUAAGUUAGGUGAGCACCUACACACCCCUCGAAGCCCCAGCUCCCCGCGCCCCGCCUACAGCCUCCUACCUGCAGAGAAGCAGAGCAAGGACAGCCGAUGCCCCAGGCGGGCCAAGCCCAGCACCGUGGGAGCAAAGAACAUGGCUUCAUCGUCCGGGUGCGCGAUCACCAGCAAGGUCCUGCUGCCAUCCCCCAGGACGCCAGCCUGCUCCUGACUCUUCGUUCUUUCCCGGGAGUCCCAAACCCGGAGGAAACCCCACGCCAGGAGCGCCGCCGCAGCCAAACACAGGAGGCCCGCGGCUUCCAUCCUCGCCUCCGAGGCACUGCGCCUGCGCAGGAGGAAGGCUGCCGCACAUCCAAGCUCCGGCGGGAAAACUGCACUCGCGGAAAUUACGUUCCGAGGUUGAGUCCGUUUUGCCCACCAGAAGCUUCCGACGUUGGGUUCCUGUUGUGGUUCCACAAGGACACCUCCCAACCCUCCUUUAUCUCGUUCUCUCUACUUUAAGCAGCACCGACGAUGUCUUUUUUUUUUUUUUUUUUUGCUUUCUCGAUUUCUGAGACGAACCCUUUGGCCGUCAGCUUUUACCCUUGUCCUUACAAUGGGUUAAAACAAAACACGGGUUAAAACAAAACAAAAUAAAACAGCGAAUGAAAAAUA